AUUCAACUUGUUUUUAUUAUUGCUUGUUAGCCGCCCUGAGCCCGGCCUUGGCUGGGGAGGGCGGGGUAUAAAUUAAAAUUAUCAUUAUGGAAGCGAAAGCUCUGAAAAAGCUCAAUAUGGAGGUCAAAUGGCCAAAAUAUUGGGAAAUUUUGGAACAAGAUGGAGAUAGAUUGAAACUGCAGAGUUUUGAAAAACUAAAAAACAAAGUGCGAGACUGGCUUCAUUAUUAUCAGAUAAUGGAGGCAUACAAUUUGGACAAGAAAAUUGGCUUCCAGUUGGAAAAAUCAAAAUUAGAAACAGAAUUGUUAGAACCCAAAACUAAGAUUUUGUCAAAGAUGUAUAACUUGUUGUUGAAAUGGAAUACUCAGGACGAAACGGUGAAAUCUGCUAUGAUUAAAUGGGCACAAGACGUUGGACAUAAUAUAAUAAUGGCUGACUGGGAACAGUUGUGGACCACAGGUAUGAAGUUCAUGGCAUGUAAUGCCCUAAGAGAGAAUAUUAUGAAAAUGAUAUACAGGUGGUACAUAACCCCAGUCAAGCUUGCAAAAAUCUACCAUUUGCCCGAUAACAAAUGUUGGAAAUGUAAAGAAACUGAAGGUACAUUCUUUCACCUUUGGUGGACGUGCCCAAGGAUUAAGGUUUUCUGGGAGAUGAUUUAUAAUGAAUUAAAAAAGGUAUUUAAAUAUACCUUCUUGAAGAAACCAGAGGCCUUUCUCCUGGGCAUAGUCGGCCAAUCAGUGUUAAAGAAGGACAGAACUUUCUUUAUGUAUGCUACAACAGCAGCAAGAAUACUUAUUGCAAAGCAUUGGAAGACACAAGAUCUACCCACACUGGAGGAAUGGCAGAUGAAAAUGAUGGACUACAUGGAAUUGGCGGAAAUGACUGGCAGAAUCCGAGACCAGGGAGAAGAGUCGGUGGAAGAAGAUUGGAAGAAAUUUAAAGACUACUUACAGAAAUAUUGUAAAAUUAAUGAAUGUUAGAAUGAUGACGGAUUGAAGUUAAGCGGUUUCUAGCGGUAAUGGUAUUAAAAAUAUGGAAAAAUUGGUUUUUAAUAUGUAAAAAUUUAAUGUUAUAAUUUAUCAAGAUUAAAUAUUAGGAUUAAAAAGGAGGGAAAGGAAUUGCUGGAUUAGCAUACUGAAUUGGAAUACAAAAGAGGGAGGUAUGAGGAGGUCCAGGAAACAAGUAAAUGUAAAAGAAGUGAUGAAAAGAUGGAAUUGUUUUUAACUGUUUUUUCUUUUUUGUAUUUUGUAAUUUUCCUUUUUAUUGUUAAUUUUCUUAUUAAUGUGAUUUUUCUUCUUUUGAAAUUUUAAUAAAUAUUAUU